rnacentral:rRNA from 1 species
GAUGAACGCUAGCUACAGGCUUAACACAUGCAAGUCGAGGGGUAACGAGAGGAAAGCUUGCUUUCCUUGUCGACGACCGGCGCACGGGUGAGUAACGCGUAUCCAACCUGCCCCCAACUAGGGAAUAACCUUGCGAAAGUAAGACUAAUACCCUAUAAUUUCCUCAGAUGUCAUCUGACGAGGAAUAAAGAUUUAUCGGUUGUGGAUGGGGAUGCGUCUGAUUAGCUUGUUGGCGGGGUAACGGCCCACCCAGGCAACGAUCAGUAGGGGUUCUGAGAGGAAGGGCCCCCACAUUGGGACUGAGACACGGUCCAAACUCCUACGGGAGGCAGCAGUGAGGAAUAUUGGUCAAUGGGCGGAAGCCUGAACCAGCCAAGUAGCGUGCAGGAUGACGGCCCUAUGGGUUGUAAACUGCUUUUAUACAGGAAUAAAGUUAGCCACGUGUGGUUAUUUGUAGGUACUGUAUGAAUAAGGACCGGCUAAUUCCGUGCCAGCCGCCGCAGUAA